GAGUUUGAUCAUGGCUCAGGAUGAACGCUAGCGAUAGGCUUAACACAUGCAAGUCGAGGGGCAUCACGGGAUUAGCUUGCUAAUUUUGGUGGCGACCGGCGUAAGGGUGCGUAACGCGUAUGCAACUUGCCUGUCAGUGGGGAAUAACCCGGAGAAAUCCGGACUAAUACCGCAUACACUUUGGUUCCCGCAUGGGGACUUUAGGAAAGAUUUAUUGCUGACAGAUAGGCAUGCGUUCCAUUAGAUAGUUGGUGAGGUAACGGCUCACCAAGUCAACGAUGGAUAGGGGAGCUGAGAGGCUUAUCCCCCACACUGGAACUGAGACACGGUCCAGACUCCUACGGGAGGCAGCAGUGAGGAAUAUUGGUCAAUGGGCGAGAGCCUGAACCAGCCAAGUCGCGUGAAGGAAGACGGUCCUAUGGAUUGUAAACUUCUUUAGUAGGUGAGUACAAGCAGUUACGUGUAGCUGUAAGC
rnacentral:rRNA from 1 species